rnacentral:rRNA from 1 species
AGCGAACGCUGGCGGCAGGCCUAACACAUGCAAGUCGAACGCCCCUUCGGGUGAGUGGCGGUCGGGUGAGUAACGGGUGGGAAUGUUCCUUUUGGUACGGAACACCUGAGGGACACUUCAGCUCAUACCGUAUGUGCCCUACGGGGGAAACAUUUAUCGCCAUUGAAGCAGCCCGCGUUGGAUUUGGUGGUUGGUGGGUUAAGGGCCCAUCAUGCCGACGAUCCAUAGCUGGUCUGAGAGGAUGACCAGCCACACUGGGACUAGGACACGGCCGAGAAUCCUACGGAAGGCAGCAGUGGGUAAUCCUGCGAAAUGGGGGAAAGCCUGACGCAGCCAGGGCGGGUGAAUGAUGAAGGUCGGAGAAUAGUAAAAUUCUUUAACCGGGGAAGAUAAUGACGGUACCCGGAGAAGAAGCCCCGGCUAACUUCGUG